rnacentral:rRNA from 1 species
ACGCUCGACACCUACGGGAGGCAGCAGUGAGGAAUAUUGGUCAAUGGGCGCUAGCCUGAACCAGCCAAGUAGCGUGAAGGAUGAAGGCUCUAUGGGUCGUAAACUUCUUUUAUAUAAGAAUAAAGUGCAGUAUGUAUACUGUUUUGUAUGUAUUAUAUGAAUAAGGAUCGGCUAACUCCGUGCCCGCAGCCGCGGUAAUCUGAGCGGCUGGCAAGGC